AUUAAUCAAAUAUGACUGUUAUGAGUCAGUAUGAGUGUGCACAGAAUGCAACGCCAUUAUAUGCAAAGAGUAACCCGGAUGCCACAUGGAAUCGAAAGUUCAGGAGGCAACACAGUUGGCCAUGACACGUGGAAGACAAAGGGUUUCUGGUCAAGUCCGUUGCCUAAUCAAAUGUGUUUUAGAUGGGAUGGAGGACAGAAGGCACAUCCAACAGAUCAGUGCACAGUGCAGUCAGAUACAUAUGGAAUCACUAGGGGCUUUUGGAUUGUUUAGCAUGAAUUUUGGAUUGCUAAGGUCAUGCUUAGGAAAUGUUUAGUAAUUGGAAUAAUUAUUGAGUCUAAAAAUAUUUUGCUAUAUCCACUGGUUUGCCUUUUUUAAAUGUUCAUUUUUUUUCUUUUCCGGUCCAAGUCCAGUAUGAAGACAUUGUAUGUUUGUUUUGGUUUAUUAAAAUAUACAAUAAAUGUCUGCUUAAAGACUUGAAAAUUUUAGAUAAUGUGUUGAAACUCUUUGCAGAUUUCAGUUCAGUGUCAGGAUGACCAAUUCGGGUUGGAUGCUGAAGUGGUUUAUGAUGACAAAUCCUUUCCCUUAAAGAGGUGCGCUCCAUUUGUGACUGGGUCGUAUCACAGGGGACGAGUUCCUGGGCAGAAUCAGGAUACUGGUAGGUACAUUUAUUUAAUAUUCGUCUUAAAAAGGGUUUGUUCACCCAAAAAUUUAAAUUCUGUCAUUAUUUACUCAACAGUGUUGAUCUAAUGUUGUGUCUUUUAGAGGCAUACUGUAGGGAAAACCAGAAAAGUCAUUUAUUAUUUACUAUUCUUAGGCACACUAUUAGGUUUCUCUGAGCUUGUUCCUGAGAUUGUCUGCAUGUGUUUUUGUGGUAAACAUUGUUUCCACCUUUUUUGUGUUUCC